AGUGAACGCUGGCGGUAUGCCUAACACAUGCAAGUCGAACGGCAGCACAGUAAGAGCUUGCUCUUACGGGUGGCGAGUGGCGGACGGGUGAGGAAUACAUCGGAAUCUACUUUUUCGUGGGUGAUAACGUAGGGAAACUUACGCUAAUACCGCAUACGACCUACGGGUGAAAGCAGGGGAUCUUCGGACCUUGCGCGAUUGAAUGAGCCGAUGUCGGAUUAGCUAGUUGGCGGGGUAAAGGCCCACCAAGGCGACGACCCGUAGCUGGUCUGAGAGGAUGAUCAGCCACACUGGAACUGAGACACGGUCCAGACUCCUACGGGAGGCAGCAGUGGGGAAUAUUGGACAAUGGGCGCAAGCCUGAUCCAGCCAUACCGCGUGGGUGAAGAAGGCCUUCGGGUUGUAAAGCCCUUUUGUUGGGAAAGAAAAGCAGCAGGUUAAUACCCCGCUGUUCUGACGGUACCCAAAGAAUAAGCACCGGCUAACUUCGUG
rnacentral:rRNA from 1 species